UACAGAGGUCUCAAGCGUUGUUCGGAUUCAUUGGGCGUAAAGGGUGCGUAGGCGGCGUGGUAAGUCGGAUGUGAAAUCUCGGGAGCUUAACUCCGAAACUGCAUUCGAUACUGCCGUGCUUGAGGACUUGGAGAGGAGACUGGAAAUUUACGGUGUAGCGGUGAAAUGCGUAGAUAUCGUAAGGAAGACCAGUGGCGAAGGCGGGUCUCUGGACAGUUCCGUGACGUGAGG
rnacentral:rRNA from 1 species